GCCAGGUGUGGGUGGUGCACACCUGUAAUCCCAGCAGCUCUGGAGGUUGAGGCAAGUGGAUCCCAAGUUGAAGGAAAGCCUCAGCAAUUUAGCAAGGCCCUAAGCAACUUAGUGAGACCCUGUCUCAA
rnacentral:sRNA from 1 species